rnacentral:rRNA from 1 species
UACGUAGGGUGCGAGCGUUGUCCGGAAUUACUGGGCGUAAAGAGCUCGUAGGUGGUUCGUCGCGUUGUUCGUGAAAACCGGGGGCUUAACCCUCGGCGUGCGGGCGAUACGGGCAGACUUGAGUACUGCAGGGGAGACUGGAAUUCCUGGUGUAGCGGUGGAAUGCGCAGAUAUCAGGAGGAACACCGGUGGCGAAGGCGGGUCUCUGGGCAGUAACUGACGCUGAGGAGCGAAAGCGUGGGGAGCGAACAGG